ensembl:lncRNA TEX26-AS1 TEX26 antisense RNA 1
UAUUACCCACUUGGGUGAAAAGAGAAGACAGGAAAUACAUUUUGGAGUUGGCUGGCAACCUGUUUACAAAGCAAUUUACAACAGUUCCUUAUUCUUAAGGGGCUAUUCUAAUACAAGACCUCAGAGAAACAGUGCAGUGUGACAAAGGAGGAAUUUAUCAAAGGAGACAGAAAAAGCAUCAAGGCAAGCUGUGAAAUGGUGCGGUAGGAACCAAAUAGAGAGCCAAAGGAUCUUUCUGUCACUGCAGGCCCUUAGGGGGUCUCACUGUGUUGCCUAGGCUGGAGUGCAGUGGCACCAUCUCGGCUCACUGCAAGCUCCACCUCCAAGAUUCAAGCCAUCCACCUCCCACCUCGGCCUCCUGAGCAGCUGGGACCACAGGUGCAUGUCACUAUGCCCAGCUAAUUUUUGUAGACAGGAGGUCUCACUAUGUUGCCCAAGCUGGCCUCGAAGUCCUGGACUCAAGCAAUCCGCCCACCUCAGCCUCCCAAAGUGCUGGGAUUACAGGCAUGAGGCACUGCACCCAGCCCUGAGAUCUUUGGAAGCAUGCCAGAACAGACUGGUGAAAAUAAAUCAUGCAAAUCUUUAAUAAAA